UACGUAGGGCGCAAGCGUUGUCCGGAAUUAUUGGGCGUAAAGAGCUCUGUGAGCGGUUUGUCGCGUCUGCUGUGAAAAUCCGGGGCUCAACCCCGGACUUGCAGUGGGUACGGGCAGACUAGAGUGUGGUAGGGGGAGACUGGAAUUCCUGGUGUAGCGGUGAAAUGCGCAGAUAUCAGGAGGAACACCGAUGGCGAAGGCAGGUCUCUGGGCCACUACUGACGCUGAGAAGCGAAAGCAUGGGGGAGCGAACAGG
rnacentral:rRNA from 1 species